rnacentral:rRNA from 1 species
AACGAACGCUGGCGGCAUGCCUAACACAUGCAAGUCGAACGAGACCUUCGGGUCUAGUGGCGCACGGGUGCGUAACGCGCGGGAACCUGCCCUUAGGUUCGGAAUAACUCCCCGAAAGGGGUGCUAAUACCGGAUAAUGUCUUCGGACCAAAGAUUUAUCGCCUUUGGAUGGGCCCGCGUUGGAUUAGCUAGUUGGUAGGGUAAAAGCCUACCAAGGCGACGAUCCAUAGCUGGUCUGAGAGGAUGAUCAGCCACACUGGGACUGAGACACGGCCCAGACUCCUACGGGAGGCAGCAGUGGGGAAUAUUGGACAAUGGGCGAAAGCCUGAUCCAGCAAUGCCGCGUGAGUGAUGAAGGCCUUAGGGUUGUAAAGCUCUUUUACCCGGGAUGAUAAUGACAGUACCGGGAGAAUAAGCUCCGGCUAACUCCGU